AUCGUGUCUCAGCUCCCGCCUCCUCUUUCUCACACUGUUCGUCUCAUCACUAUGUAAGUGGGGAUACCAGCCUGUUUUGCAUACGGCUGUUUAGUCCUUUGUGGCAGGCGGGGCGGCAUGCGAAUAUGCAAAACGGUACUGGGAGGCAUUUUGUAGUGUGAUGAGGAAAGGGAGACUGUGGUGGGACUGUGAAUGAUGCCGCCGUGUGCGCGAACACUUGUGUGUUUUCAAACCGAUUCUUUGCGAUGGUUGGUACGGGAGCGAGUGCCACCAGAACCAAAGCCAGUUGAUCAACGUGGCGAUUGGAAUACCAACACCAAGCAACCAUAAAUCCUACAUGGAGGGAUCCUCUUAUCUUCUUCGGCCUUUAUUCCAUUUCAGGGACAAUGCAAGGAAAGGUUGUCAUUUUUCUUUCAACAUCAUCGUUACUGUAAAUCCACACGACACAGAAUCGGCAAAUAUCGGCGGCGAAUUAAGAAGAAAGAGACGGGGAAGUUCCUUUGGCUUCCCCCUCCUCUUCACCCAUAUCCUUCUCCCUUGUACUUAUCUGUGGCGGGGAGCCAAUGGUUCAUUAUAAUUGGCCGUUGUCAUCAUGCAGAUGACACACAGUCAGCGCUCUGAAUAUCAUUAGCGCCUUUGCAUACCUCCGCUCUUUUUUCUUUUUUUUUUCUGUCCUUUCUUCUUGUUCCUUCAUCCCGAGGCUCGUUUCGGGACUCGAUAUUCCAAAAGGUAAUUAUCAUCCGCGAGAGCAGCCUAUCAAUAUGUGGAGAUAGCCAUAAUGGGAGAAUGAAGGUGCAUGUCUGAUUGUCGUUGUCUCUUUCGCUAUUUCCAGUGCAAAUGUAAAACAAUCUCCCGGGGUGUGAGGGGGAAUAAAAGUGUAUUUGUGUGAUUGCAUUUGACUCUCCUUUGCUGUGGAGCCCAUUGUAUAUCUCUGUGGUUAAAGUGUGUUCUUUGCUCUCCUCCUCCUCCUCCUCCUCUUCCUCCCCCUCUCCGCCUCGUUUGCAUAUAUCAGCCUCUCCUUGGGUAGAAUAAUAGCUCUUAAUUCUUCUCUGCAGCUCUUGCCUUCUGAUCCAUGACAAAAAAGAAAGAGGCAGCCGGCCAAUUUGCAUACUCCGCAUACUGAUGAGCCGUGUGUUGGCGACUGCCUAAUUACCAAGUCCUCCAGUCACUCUCUCUCUCUCUCCUCUUGCAGCUUUCGCUUUUAACCCUCUCUCGCCCAAUCGCCAUCCCUUCGUCUCCACAGGAAACCUUUGCCGUGUUCAGCAUUAAUUCAUCUGGAGGGGCAUGCAGAAACAAUAGAGAAACAAGACAUGAACAGAAGCAUAUUGCGGUGACGAGCGGCUCGUUCAUUCACCUUCGUUUAUUCCCCCGUCUGUGUUUAUUGGCUAAUUUGCGACUCCUCUCGCUCGCGGCGGCUCUCCUUAAGCUACCCUCUUUGUCUUUGCCUUUGAAAUUUACAAAAUCUUACAAGAAAUCAAUACUUAAUUGAUUAUUCACUUUCCUGCAGCCUCAAACGACCGGCGAGUGCACGUGCGUAUUAAAUCCAGCGUGUGUGUGAGUGUGUACGUGUGAGUGAGUCUCUGGUAGAUCCCAUGGUAGUCCCAGUUCUUUCGAGGCAGCAGGCGGACGAGGUGGCAGUGAGCUCUGAGAGCAACACUCUGCAGCAUCAACGUGGAUGUGUAUGUGUAUGUGUGUGUAUGCAUGCAUGUGUGUGUGAGUGAGUGUGUGGGGCACGUGAGACGUACCAGGGUCUCAUCAAUAGUGCCAGGGAAGUUCCAAGGUUGCAAGAGGGUUUUCUUCUCAGCCAUUUUGGUGCAUCCAGAGGAGAGAGGAGCAUGGAAAUCAUCAUCAACAACAACAACAACAACAAACCAAGACCGAGCCUGUGGGCACAGGAAGCACUGAAGACUCCAAGCAGGAUGUGGAAAAAGUAAUGGAAAGGAGUGUGUCCUUGAUUCCCGAGCUUUGUUUUUGUCCUCUUUGCCGCCGCUUCUUUGUUUUCCGUCCUGGCGUUGAGAAAAAAGGAGCAGGGCAAGAUGCCACCUGGACCCUUUAGAGAACUCUGUGGCAAAGUGGGCGCGGAAAUAGGGGCGUGAAGAGAGGGGCGUAAGGAGGAGGAGGAGGAGAGAGAGGGGUAAAGGGUGCCUGGCGCCUGCCUCUGAUAUGCCAUAAGGAUGGCAGGCACGUAAUGAUAGCAAAUGUAGAGCAGAUUGGCUUGGAGGAGGAGGAGGAGGAGGUGGAAGAGAGACAGGGAAAGGGGGAGAGGAGACAGAUGGCAAAGCUGGCCUUGUGCCAACAAUACCAAGACAUGACUACGCAGGGAAACCUCCCCCUACGCUUUGACACUUGUUGCUUACUGUGUAUUUGAGUGUUUGGUCUACGAACUGGAGCUGGAAUGUACCAAAAUGUUAGUGUUUGCAAAGAUAUUCCUUCAUCUUUAUCUGUAAAGGACGGCAAUAAUAUAAUGUUUCACCAUCCCUGUAUGCACUGAUGGGAUAUUUGAGUAUGUAUGAGAGCCUAAAGCAAAAUGAGGGUGAAAGAUAGAGGUCUGGCCUCCUAUAUGACCUCCAUUAAUGCUACGUGCCAAGGGUCAAAUAUUGACUCUCUUCACAUAUCUUUCCUUAUAGCCAUCAAAAAUAGAUGUUGCAACCCGCCUCAAUCACUGUUCUCCACACUGAUGACAUUUGAGUUUUAGUGGGGAAAAUGUUUUUUGUCUCACAGUCUUCAGGAGUAAGAAAAGAGAAAAAAAUUGCUGGCCCGUGUUGGUUUAUGACAAGGAAAACGGAUGGCAGCGAGAUAGAGUAUUAUGAUGUUCAUAUUGAAAUGUGCUGAGCAAACAUCUUCCUGUAGCAGCAGACGUGCUCAGCAUGUGUGAGGAAAAGAGAGAGAGAGAGUGGGAGGGAGAGAAAUGUAUUUGGGUAGUGUUUGAGGGGGUGCAAAAUACAUACUGUACAGUAUUUUUGUCUGAUUGAAUGUGUGCCAAUGAAGCAAGUAGUUUUGACGCCACAAAGACGAAUUAUGGCGAGUAUAGCUGGCACAUAUGAGGAAAAAGGAACAUCUGAGGUGAUGUGAAGUGGACAGGAUUGGAGAUGUGUACGAUUGUCAUGUUUUACCUGUUUUGCAUGAUUGGUAGUAAAGCAAUGCAUAAGAAAAGAUUGGUCAAAGCUCUGUCAUGUGUAGAUAAAGAGAAAUCAUACACUGUGUGUAUGUGUGCGUGUGUUUGGGGGGGGGGACUGGAUGGAAGGGGGGCGUUAUCCAAAUCAGACAGCCUAUUUGAAUAAGAACAAUCACAGCUCCAAAAUGGAGCAGAGACACAGACAGGGGGAAAUGGCGAGGCGAUUUGACUUGCGAAUAAGGCAAUGCAUAUCUGCAUGCUAAUUACGCAGCAAGAAGGGGGGAAAAGAGUGGAAAGCGCCCCCCAUGCGCCAGACAGAGAGAGGGCGAGGGAGGAAAGACACAGCAGACACGAGAGAGAAACAGGGGGGAUGAGCAAGCGAACAAACGGACAAACAAACGAGGGAAUCAAAGGGAGCUACAGACGAGAUGGGUAAUUAAUUCCCCAUAAGCCUUUAUUCAGCGGCGUUUGAUUUUCUUUGGAAACAAAUCAACGCGCAUGGAAGAAGAAGAAAGGAGCACAAGCAGAGGACGAGGGCAGGGAUUGGAGCGGGGUUGGGGGGCAUCCGAAAAUUAAAAUUAUUGAUUGAUCUUAGGGUGCUGGGGGCUGUGGCGCGGAGGGCAUUUUGAGGAUGUAAUUAGAGCGGACUGGGACCAAGGCUGGAAUGAUAAUAGAUGACGUUGGAAUUCACCAUGGCGAUUGGCCAUUAAUCUCCAUUAUCGCCGACCGGGAUAUUAAAAAUUCUAAUUGGAGGGACAAAAAUGAUGUGGCUGGUGUGUGUACGCGUGUUUACAAGUGUGUGUGUGCUGGGAUGUUGAUCUUGGGAGUUUGGUGAUAAUUGCCGCCAUGGGGGGAUGAGGUAUAGUAUAUCAACUGUAUGAGCCGCUGAUUAGAAUUAUGAACUGAACGAUGCAGAACUGGGUGUAACCUUGUUUCCUUUUUUGUUAAUAGAAUGUCAAAAAAACUAAUUUAUCAUUUGGGAAAAGCAAUUUUGACAACUUAAUUUAGUUUUUUGCCUACGUGAACAUUAAUGUAUGGUUUCAUUUCACUGUGUGUGUAAUGACGUAUGAAUUUGUGUAUGUUUUUAAGGUGUUUUCGUGAUAAACUAGCUCAUCUAAUGACAAAAUGUUCCAUGUCACUUGCGGUUUUGAUACAAAAUGAUCCAUAAACACUGUCUUUGUUUGUUUUUUAUCAAUGAAGAUGAUAAUUUUCGAUUUGAUUUAUGAUAUUUAUAAGAAAUCCUGAAUGCCAUAUCUAUCUAGCAGUUUAAAAUAUGUUCUGUUUGUAUUAAAAACAAUUUAACAAACUUCAUAUGUGUUUGAUUGUUUGUGUUUUUGACAUGUGGUGAUAAGUUCUCAAACUCUGCUCUGAGAGGAAAAGCCCUGCUGUAGGGAGUCCUCGGCCCCCGCGGGUGCUGUGAUGUCACCGUGGCCUUGGAUUCGCCGUUUGCACUAAGUUACAUCAGCCCAGAUUAAGGAGCACAGAUGACAGGCCAAUACUGUGUUUAUCAAUAGCUCCACCACCUUGCAUGACUGUGCUGUGACACUGUCGAUAGAUUAUGAAAUCUUACUGUGUCAGCUAUUCAAUAUUACAAAUUGCCUGUGUGUAGUCGGCAUGCUCGUGCACGCUCGCAUUGGUGUACGUGUGUGUGUCCCUGACGUAAAUAUGCAAGAGGUUAAUGCAUAUGUUCCAGUAACGUCUCCAUGUAUUCACUCUGCAUGAUUAGGAACUGUCCUUGAAUUAGUAAGAUGAAACCGCAACCCCCAACUGUGCCGCCGUCACACACUUGUUUCCAACACACACACUCGUGAUAUUGUUUUACACCUUAAGACAAGCAGUCACACAAAGAUCCCCUAUUAGGUCUAAAAUGAAGACAUAGCUGCACUCAGACAAGCAAAAUAAUGAAAAACACUUCACCUCUGCUGUUAAUUCAUUGUUCAUUAGAGAAAGAAGACACUGUCACCAUGUAGGGUUCGCAUGCUUUUAUUUGUGUUAUAUGUGCGCUUCUUUGUGUGUGUGUGUGUGCGAGAGGGCCUGUGUGAUGUCAUUACGUUAAUGGUCUUUCGCUGGGGCUAGUCAUUAAAUGAGGAUAUUAAAGCAGUAGCCUGUUUUUAUAUGCAUGGAGGGGUGAUGUGUGGGGGUCACAUUUGCUUGAAGCCAUCACUCAUGCACGAUGGGAGGAUGCACAAACACACACAGGGACACAUACAAAUCUGCAGAGUGCGUAAGUAAGGGGUCACACUGCUCUUUUGAGGAGAAACAUGUCUAUUUGUACUGCUCUUUCUUUGCAUACAGUGACAGACACCUACUUGGCCUCCAUUUAAGUUGCUUUUUAUCCAUAUGUACCCUCUUUCAAGCCAGAUUGAUCCUGAUAUUUAUGAGCUGGGCUUGACAUGCAUAUUAUUAUUGUCAUUACUGUUAUUAUGCAUUUCAGGGGUGGGAAAUAACAUUAUGCCAGGCAGAGGCGGUGCAAAAGCAGAAGCUAUCACUGCUGCAAUCAUCAGAUUGGCCUGAUUUAUGAUUUAUGCAGACCACAUACCGUCUCAGAUAACGCCCCAGGAGGAGCCGGGCUGUAAAAAAUUGUUUUAGCCAAUUGAUUAAUCAAGACUGGUCAUAUGUGUGAGUACUUCAUUUGUAUAUGUGCUUAGAUUGCGAAGGGAAAUGUGUCUUUAUCUUGUGUCUGAAUCUGUAUGAGCAUAUGGGUGUCUGGCUGGUGUUGGAAAAACUGAUUUGGUGGUGUGACCUUGUGUGGCGGGGAUUGGUGGGUUUGGAGAAUGUGAUGGAGAGAGGGGGGGACAGCUGGUAAAAUGUGGGAGUAAGUCAAAGAAAACAAGAUUGGUAUGGUAACCUUUUUUUUCCCCACUGAAGUAAUGAAAAGUGUACAUUUUUGAUGACUUGCAACCCAAUAAUUCCUGUGAGUUGAAAGCUGGAGUGUAGAAAAUUAUGAAUUUGUACAACCUCUCUCUUUCUGUUAAUCAUCUCCUCAUGUUAUAAACAUCAAAACUGUGUUUUCUGUCUUUGUUUUUUGGAGCUUUGAUUUAUGUGACAAUGACAUACUAAAACAGAGCAUAUUUUGUUAGAGGGGAAAUAACUUCUAUUAAAUGUUCAACGGCAAUAAUUAAAGAGUGCCAAAAAUGCCUCCAGGUGGUGAAUUGUUUUCUAAAUGAUGGUACAAGCAAAGUACUUGUUUCUUACCUUGAUGUCAUGUUCGUAGUUAGAGCAAAGAGCAGGAGUGAUCUUGCACUGCUUCAUCUCAGCAUCUCUCCGUGGCUCCCUAAAAAAAAAAUUAAAACUGAUCAGUAAAGUAAGGCAUCAUCAAAGCAUACUGAAAUGACUCAAGAGAACAGUCAGUGACAAUGCCAGGAACAGUCGUGACAGCUCCAAGCGGCUUAAAAGUGAAGCAAUGUGGUGAACUUCUAAACAGGUAUAAUCUAGUUUAAUAAAAAGGGUCACUUUUUAGGUACGACAGACCAAAACAAAUGUCGUCCCAUAACACUUUUACAUAUGGAACAAUCAGAGACCCAGUUUUGUGUCUAGUCACCAAUCCUGAAGUAAGAGUUGAGCCUAGAGUCUACAGUGUUCAAGUCUAAGCCUCCAAAAAGGAAUCAAAGUUGCGCUCCUAUUACCCAAGUCCAAGUCCAAGUCGAGUCCUUGUGAAGGAUAACUGUCUGACAUUGACAUAUCAACUGGACUGACUGUGUCUAGAAAACUUGUUUUAUUUACGGGCAUCAGACUGUGAUCCUGUCAGAGAUUCAAAUGACCAAAUUAAGUCACCAUUGUCUAUAAAUGUACAACACGCUCUCUUAAUAAAAAAGAGGACACAUUGUUUCUACCACGGUGGGAUCCAUGCAGGUGUUUUGUAAACUCAAGCGACUGGUCACCCAGCUGCUAUUAAACUAAACAUACAGCUUGGAUCCAACGGUUGAGUCAGUCUAACGUUUGCUAACAGAAAUUCUUGUACUUCAAGUGUAAAAUCAGUGAAAAUCAAGAAAAACACAAGGCACACGGGUCUGGACCCUCAAAGCCAGGAAAGUUGAUCUGUGGUGAAGAGAGAAACUGAAAAAGACAAAUACAGCUAGCUGGCCACAAAAAUGUCCGCAAAAAUUAAGACUUGUAGUGGUAACAACAACAAUAAGAUUAGAAAUAUGAUGCAUUUUGGUACGAUCAAGACAAGGUUGUAGCCAAUUAGUAUUUUGUACUUGUUAAAAGCGUAUAGCUCAACAAUGAUGCAACAUUAAUAUCUCGGUUACAGUUUAUUUUUUGACUGUUUUACAGCCACCAUUUCCAGCCCAGGCAACAAGACAUCUACUUCUCUCAAAUUAGGAUUAAUUCAUGCAGCUAUUUUGAAGUUUGUUUUGGUGAUCUGACUGUAAUCUGUAUCAGAGGACACACAGUGUGGAGAAAUUUUGGAAGACACUACUGGUGCAUUCAGAGGGGUCGAUGUACAGCUCUCUUGGGUGUCCAAAUCAUCCCAGUGAUCACAGACCCCCUCAACCUGGCAGACUUUCUUGUCCAGUCCACACACUGAGCUACAUGGAGUAAUGAAGGCUGAACAGCUGACUAAUAGCUGGUUCUGUCCUGUGCUAGAAACUGAGUAAGAAGGUAGUAAGACGGCUAUGGGCAAGGGCAAAUAUCUGCCACAUGAAUGCAUACAGCCCCUGUUUGUCAUCCUGAUGUUAUUUAGGUGACUGCAGGUAAUAUUGAAAAGCAAUAGGCAAGAUGAUUGCAUGCGAUUCCUUUCUGUGGUUUUGGUGUCCUUGCUAAAGCAGACCAUACAUGCACACAAUCCAACAACCUACAGGCAGAUUUCAGGGAUUGGGACCAAUUGCAGCAUCGGUGAUGCAGAGCUAAAGGGAAGUAGCCGGCCACGGCCAGGCUGAAGGAACCACUGCCGAGGUGAUUAUAGAUUCUGAAAGCAGCGCUGGACUCUGAGGCAGAGAUUAUUAUAAAUUUGGUCAUUGGCAAUGAGGACACUACAGGGGAGAGAAAAACAAAUAUUAGGGCCCCCUUCAAUGCCGGAGCCAGUGUGAGCUGUUUUCCAUUUUAAUGCAUUAUGUGUGUAUAAGGGAGAGAGGGGAGAUGAGUUUUUUUUUCUCUUCUCGAUGUGGGCGUUUGUGUGUGUGUGUGUGUUAGAUUCAGCAAACUCAGAUUUACAUUUCCCUUGCACUGCCUGUGAAAUGUUUUCAGACGUGGACAGCGUGACUGCAAUAAUAUAUAAGGCUCGUUUUCCCGCACUCUCUCCCUUUUUUUGCUUUCUGUCUUACACGUACUUACAUGCACACACACUGCAGGCACAGACAGUUUGAGAGGAUGAGGGAGCGCAGCUGUAAUUACCAACCGAGAGAAAGAAAUGGAAAUUCACACUUAGUCUGAUUCUGUGGUUAGCUUUCAAGCCACUCCUUCACUUAAGCUUAUAUUGACACAUGGAAUUAAAGUGAAGGUCCCCAGACAUCGCACAGUUAAACACACACAGAAGAAUCCAAAAGUUCAUCAUUAUGAAAGGUCUUUGAGAUACACAUGAGGAAAAAUGUGUUUUGCAAAAAAGAUUAUUUAUAAAGUCAUGUUUCUUUCUGUCAAUUAAAAUACCAUAAGAUUAAAGCCAUAAUACUUGGGAUUCUUGAGGUCUUUUCUUGAUUAUGAAAGCGACUCUUGUUAUUAGUAAGUUGGUAUUAACUUUCCAAGGUUAAAAAUCAAAAAGCAUUGCUUUACAAAGGUUUGAGCAGACAUGGGUGGAAUUUAAUUCGCUAGAAAAUAGUGAGAUAAAAGAAGUUAUACAAACUAUUUGUCUGAAGUAUUGGAGCAUGUUUCAGGUCUCUUUAUGUCACUGUCAUCGUAUGGUUGGGAUUGGUAUUUGCACGGACCUCGUGAUUCAAUACCUGUCAUCAAACAUUGGCUUCAAUACAAUUCUAUUUACUGAAAAUUAAAUAGUCUCAGAAUACAACCUGAAGAGAAACAGAGUCAAAAACUACGUCAUUUGAAUUUCUACACUAAUUCAUUGGACUGUGGGGUCUUCAAAAUCAAAAUUUCAAUCUUUAAUAUGGUACAAGUAAGAAAAAAAUUCAAUACCCACGCAAUAAAGAUAUAACUCUAGUAAUAAACAUAAAGGAACUAGGCAGUCCUGGGUAAAAGGACUUGUGAACUUGCAAAGCAGAAUGAAGAUGUUUGUACUCUUUAAACUUCGAUAAAAAUACUUGGGCUGACAAUGUGGCUUAAUAACACACAGACUUAACAUCGAACUUUGAUUAAAUAAGACAGCAACGGCAAAAAUACACAAGAUCAAAAGCAAGGGAAUGAUUGUUUGAAGAAUUACUGCAAAAAUAAUCAUAUGGGGCAGAUAGAAACCCUGGUUUUAAUGAUCUUUCCAUUCUAGUAAUGUUAUACAAAGACAUAAUGACGUCAUGUUCGGAGCAGCAUGUCAUAAAAAUCUUAGCAAUACCAAAACAAGGCAGAGAGCCUCCUCAAGAGAGCAACUACAGGCCUCUUAGCCUGCUUUAACAUCAACUAUAAGGUAUUUCCUCAAGUCCUUGUGAUGUGCCUUAAAGAGUCGCACACUUACUUGUCCAUUUCGAUCUAGUAGGUUUCAUAAAAAGUUGCCAUGUCCUCAACCAAUAUAAAGUGCUAGUCAAUAAAAUACAACCGCCAUACUGUUUUGCACAUGCAACAUGUUGUUUAUGGUUGCUAAAAUAAGCAUUUCAUAGGAUCUAAUGGCCAUUUUUUUUCUCUUAUUAUUUAGCUGAAGGGAUUAAAAUGAAUGAAUAUGAUUUGUAGAAUAAACUUGUAUGCAGAUGAUGUAUUACUAACUUCCAAACCUAGUAAACUCAGCGCCACUGAAGUAAUUGAGUUUCUCAACCUUUCAGGGUAGAAAUUCAAUUUUAACAACAGUGAAGCGACUCCUCUAAACUGAGAAAGAAGAGUGUUGUUGAGGACAUUUCAGAGCAAAUAUCCUGCUCUUCCUAUAACAUUAUUUUUGAAUGUUCAGAUAAAUCUGUGCAGCGAACAGUCUUCUAAAUCUUGCGAGUAGAGGGCAGAAACCCAGUGACAAUGACAAGGAGGAGCGGUGACAAUGGUUUCCUCAGAAAGCUGACAUAUUUAUGAAAUGUAAUCUGUUAUCGCUGCCAAAUGUCCUCUUGUUAUGUAUUUUUAAUGAAGUGCAUUGUGUUGAGUUGUUAUGUGUGUGCUUGUACUCGAUCUUUGAUUCUGCA